UCAUGAAAGGCGUCAUUAGGGCUAAAAGCUUGUCCAUAAAAGGAACCUGAUUGAUGAAAUGAAAUCCAUGCAUGCGUAUGGGAAUGGCUUCCUUUUGUCAUAACAAUAAAAAUGGAAGGAGAGCAUUUAGGGAGGUACCGGGUAACAUAGGAGGAAUAAUAACUCCCAGAACAUGGAGAGAUUUUGUUUUUGGCACACGUUGAUAUAUGGUAUGUGUCAAACGAUCACCCCUCGUCUUUAUACGAAUGCUGGACUUUGUCUCUACCUGCUAUAAUCCCAUCUUAUCUCUCUUGGGGAUAUGCGAACCACCAUGACGCCGCACAGUGGGUCAAAGGGCAAAAAAUUUAGAAAUAAGUCCAUAAUUUUUUACUUGUUGAUUUGGGCAGUACCAAAUGUUUGAAGAGGAGGACUUAGGCUUUCAGGUCUAUGUCUUUAAUACAGUGUGAGAUACAGGGUGUUAAA
rnacentral:sRNA from 1 species